GAGGAAUAUCACAGAGGUGAAGUGCAACUGUCAUCAUGUCAUAUCAAGAGUACACACUAACAAGAUGAUUUAUUGCUGAAUAUUGAACUUGAUUACCUGACUGAGGUGAAUCGACUGACUCUGGAACAUUCAGGAACUUUCUCAUGGUCACCCAGCUAGAGUAUGGAAGCCAAGCUGUCUGAUUCCAGGAUCUUUGUUGUUAAUCCUAUGCAUAAGGAAGCCAUAAUGAGACCAUCACUAUUUUUAAGAUUCACAGAUAUUCGGGCCCAGAAUGCCAAGUUUUACAGGGUUGAGGAAUCAAAGCUGCAAUUAGUAAUAAAAUGUGAUGCUAUCUGGAAUGUUUUUCAUACAUAUAUAUGCUUCUUGGGACUCUCCCUGCAGGUUAAGAGAAAUUGAGAAACGAUGGCAAAUUCAAGUAUUUUAGAUCCUACAUACACAAGACUUAAAUAUAGUAACUAUAUACCUGAGUAUUUAUAAUCUUAAGAAUGAACAUAACAUGAACCAUGUGGCACCUAUAAAAUGAAAAUAAAAUACCUACAAACCAACUGAGAGCAAUAAAAUAAGCUUUAAGGACUUUCA